GUGUAUACUAUAUAGUUGUAUACAUACAAAUACAUAACACUAUAUACAUACACACACAUAUAUCUUCCCUUUACAUUUACUUCAUUUACUUCCUUUCAUUUAUUUCCAUUGUUUUUACCUUUAGAAAGUUUCCCCCCAAACAGGAAAAAAGUUCUAUUCUAGAAUCUUUUCAUUUCCAAUAUCUGUAACCUUAACUUUUCAGAAUUAUACCAAUACCGGAUUGAAUUGUUUAAUUCUAGUAUAAUUUAAUACCUGGAGGCCAAGCUUUCCCUCAACUUUUCAAAGUAUUCUUGCCUAUUAAUUCUUUGAGAUGCUCUUGCGAGUCGCUUCAUUAAUUAAAAAGGACAACUUUGGGAUUUUGAUUGGAAUUGCAUAAAAACUGCAUAGUAACUUGGGAAAUUUUGAGAAUGUUAGGAUAUUAAUUUGAGGGUUUGUCCAGAUCUUUGUCUGUCUCCUGCACUCUGAUUUUGUGGUUUCCUUAGAGUUUAUUUCUGAGGAGUUUAGGCAGCUUUAACCAGGUAGUUUGUGCCUGGGAGACUGUCAGUCUUUGCAGACGUUGUCACUGUCAGCUGGGAAACUUGAGGGAUGCAACUGAACACAGCUCUGUCCUCUCCCACCACCCCAGGACAGCACCCGCCUGGCUCUCAGCUCUUGGGGAACAGAAAGAGCUCCAGGAUGCCAGGCAGGAGGGUCUCAGCUGUUCCAUGAGGUAGAAGUGGGGAGGAGUCAAGACCCCUGGGAAUGGUUGGCAAAAUAGUGGCCCUCAAAGACAUCCACCUCCUAGUCCCCAGAACCUGGGAAUACAUCAGGCGCCAUAGCAAGGGGGACUUAUGGUCACUAAUCAGCUGACUCUGGGAAAGGGACGUUAUCCUGCGUUAUCCAAGUGGGCCCAGUGCAGCCACUGGGGUUGUUAUAGGUGGAAGAGGGAGGCAGAAGAGAGAGAUCCAGAAAGAGGGCAGAAUGAUAAAGAAUUGACCGCCCAUUUCUGACUUUGAAGAAGGAAGAAGGGCCAUGAGCCAAAGAAUGUGGUGUCUCUAGAAGCUGGAAAACGCAGGAAACAGAUUCUCCUCUGGAGCCUCCAGAAGGAACCAGCCCUGCCAGCACCUUGAUUUUGGCCCAGUGAGGCCCGGAUGGGGCUUCUGAUCUCCAGAACUGUGAGAACACAUUUCUGUUGUUUUAAGCCACUACGUGUGUGAUACUUUGUUACAGUGGCCACAGGAAACUGGUACAUGGGACCCCAUCUGUUGCUUUGUGGCCACGGCAGGUGGUGCUUGUCUGUCUGCACUCUGCUGCCCUCUCUCCACGGAAAUGAGGCAGGACAAUUGGGCUCAGAUCCCCUUACACGAGUUUAUUGGUCAACUGAACUCACAAAACUCUCUUACUGUUUUGUCAACUUAAAAAGCAAACUUGCCUGUUAUUUUACCCUUAAAAUGGGUUUAUUUGAGACUAGCCAAAAGAAUUGCAGUUUGAGAUAUGCAUGCUAUGGUGAACCAGAGGAAAAUCCAGAGAACAAAGGAGGGAGCUGCUUUUAUAGAGAAAGGGGGAGAGGAAUGGGCUGUUCUAAAGGAAAGUCCAUUGGGGGAAAGUAGCAGUUCAGGGCAUCAAUGGCUUCUCAUUGGCUGGGCUGUGGUGUUUCUCAUUGGCUGGGCUGCAGGGUUUCUCAUUGGCUGAGCUGUGGGGUUUCUCAUUGGCUGAGCUGCAGGGUUUCUCAUUGGCUGAGCUGAGGUGUUUCUCAUUGGCUGGACUGUUGCUGGGUGGGGAGAGAAGUCUUCCUCUAGUAGUAAAGUAGCUGUUUUUCCAGUGGGAGAUGCAAAGUGCAGGUUUGGUGUAUUUGACAAUGUGUGAUAGGGCAUGAGAGCUCCCCCUACAGGUCUUCGCGACUCCAAUUUAGUUGAGGUUUCUUUUAUUAAUUUCCAGUUUCUAGUAGGUUUCUAACUGACCCUCUGGUGCUUUUCCAUGGGGCAAACAGACCAUCGGUGAGGCAUCCCCUGUGUCUUCUCUUUCUCACAUGGCGUCUCUUACUGUGUCCUUUGCUCUCACCACCAAGGCCAGAACUGCCUGGACUUUGGUCCGUAAACAGAGGGCCAGCAGGCCCCUGAGCACAUUCCUGAUUAUAAUCCAAGGGCUCAAGGGUUUCAUGGUAAACAUAUUGCUGCCUGUUGGUCUGAGAGCUGUCUUUGUCAUUAUGAGAAUUAAGGACAUCAAGAUGGGUGCCCCCUUCGGAGAACUAUUUGGUAGUUUGUUAUAAACCCUAGCACCCAGCAGUUCUGUUCCUAGACAUUUGCCAAGAGAAAUAAAACAUGUGUCCACGUGAAAACAUUCAGUGAUGUUUGUAGCAACCGCAAAUGGGAAAGAAGCCCAAAGUCAAUCAAUAGGAGAAUGGAGAAACAAAUGAUGGGAUGGGGCAAUAAAAAUCAAUAAAAAUGAAAAAUAAAAAUCAGCAAUUAAAUGAGCAAACUGCAGGUGCAUGCAAUGACACGGAUAAAUCUCAGAAACAUUGAGCCGAGUGAGAGAGGCAAAUACAAGAGUGUGCUGUGUGAUCCCAUCGAAGGAAAUCCAAAGGCAGAUGAAAUGCCCA
ensembl:lncRNA